UACGUAGGGGGCGAGCGUUGUCCGGAGUUACUGGGUGUAAAGGGUUCGUAGGCGGUGCGGCAAGUUGGGAGUGAAAUCUCUGGGCUUAACCCAGAGGCUGCUUUCAAAACUGCUGUGCUUGAGUGUGAGAGAGGCUCGUGGAAUUGCAGGUGUAGCGGUGAAAUGCGUAGAUAUCUGCAGGAACACCCGUGGCGAAAGCGGCGAGCUGGAUCACUACUGACGCUGAGGAACGAAAGCUAGGGGAGCAAACAGG
rnacentral:rRNA from 1 species